UACGUAGAAGACUAGUGUUAUUCAUAUUUAGUAGGUUUAAAGGGUACCUAGACGGUAUAAUUAGUCUUAAAUAGGAUACGGUUAUACUAGAGUUAUAUAUGAGGAGGUGAUGUAUUUAUGCAGUAGAGUUGAAAUUCGUUGAUAGUAUAACGAACUGGAUUAACGGCGAAAAGCAACCUUUUAUCUGAAUAACUGACGAUUGAGGGACGAAGGC
rnacentral:rRNA from 1 species